rnacentral:rRNA from 1 species
GGGAUUGCCCUAGUAACGGCGAGUGAAGCGGCAACAGCUCAAAUUUGAAAUCUGGCUCUUUCAGAGUCCGAGUUGUAAUUUGCAGAGGGCGCUUUGGCUUUGGCAGCGGUCCAAGUUCCUUGGAACAGGACGUCACAGAGGGUGAGAAUCCCGUACGUGGUCGCUAGCUAUUGCCGUGUAAAGCCCCUUCGACGAGUCGAGUUGUUUGGGAAUGCAGCUCUAAAUGGGAGGUAAAUUUCUUCUAAAGCUAAAUAUUGGCCAGAGACCGAUAGCGCACAAGUAGAGUGAUCGAAAGAUGAAAAGCACUUUGGAAAGAGAGUCAAACAGCACGUGAAAUUGUUGAAAGGGAAGCGCUUGCAGCCAGACUUGCUUGCAGUUGCUCAUCUGGGCUUUUGCCCGGUGCACUCUUCUGUAGGCAGGCCAGCAUCAGUUUGGGCGGUGGGAUAAAGGUCUCUGUCAUGUACCUCUCUUCGGGGAGGCCUUAUAGGGGAGGCGACAUACCACCAGCCUGGACUGAGGUCCGCGCAUCUGCUAGGAUGCUGGCGUAAUGGCUGUAAGCGGCCCGUCUUGAAACACGGACCAAGGAGUCUAACAUCUAUGCGAGUGUUUGGGUGUCAAGCCCGAGCGCGUAAUGAAAGUGAACGGAGGUGGGAACCCGCAAGGGCGCACCAUCGACCGAUCCUGAAGUUUACGGAAGGAUUUGAGUAAGAGCAUGGCUGUUGGGACCCGAAAGAUGGUGAACUAUGCUUGAAUAGGGUGAAGCCAGAGGAAACUCUGGUGGAGGCUCGCAGCGGUUCUGACGUGCAAAUCGAUCGUCAAAUUUGGGCAUAGGGGCGAAAGACUAAUC